CCCUUAGAUGUUCUGGGCGGCCCGCGCACUACAAUGGCGCUUUCAGCGAGUUCCUAUGUUGAAUUUUCCUGGGUAUUCUUGGAAGCGGCGUCUUGACUUGGGAUAGAUCCUUGUAAUUGUUGGUUUUGAACGAGGAAUUCCUUGUAAUCGCGGUUGAUCAGCUCGCGUUGAAUACGUCCCUGCCCUUUGUACACACCGCCCGUCGCUCCUACCGAUUGGGUGUGCUGGUGAAAUGUUCGGAUCGGCCGUUUGUCGCGGUUUCCGCGUCAUGUGGCUGAGAAGUUCAUUAAACCCUCCCACCUAGAGGAAGGAGAAGUCGUAACA
rnacentral:rRNA from 1 species